rnacentral:lncRNA from 1 species
GUCUUGGAGGAGGAGAGAGAGAAGGCUGAGGCCGAGGUCUCCACAUUGAAGGCACAGGUUUUCGAGUUGAAGGCAUAGAUUUCCAAGCUGAAAGCGUGAAUCCCAUCCUUGGUCUCGGAGGCAAGGGCCCGAGCAGUGGAGGAGUUCAAAGCCUCCUCCGAGAUGGAGGAUCUAAAGGUCCAGUUCGGUCAGGACGCCUUCAUCAAG